rnacentral:rRNA from 1 species
AACGAACGCUGGCGGCAUGCCUAACACAUGCAAGUCGAACGAGACCUUCGGGUCUAGUGGCGCACGGGUGCGUAACGCGUGGGAACCUGCCCUUAGGUUCGGAAUAACUCCCCGAAAGGGGUGCUAAUACCGGAUAAUGUCUUCGGACCAAAGAUUUAUCGCCUUGGGAUGGGCCCGCGUUGGAUUAGCUAGUUGGUAGGGUAAAAGCCUACCAAGGCGACGAUCCAUAGCUGGUCUGAGAGGAUGAUCAGCCACACUGGGACUGAGACACGGCCCAGACUCCUACGGGAGGCAGCAGUGGGGAAUAUUGGACAAUGGGCGAAAGCCUGAUCCAGCAAUGCCGCGUGAGUGAUGAAGGCCUUAGGGUUGUAAAGCUCUUUUAACCGGGAUGAUAAUGACAGUACCGGGAGAAUAAGCUCCGGCUAACUCCGUG